GACGAACGCUGGCGGCGUGCUUAACACAUGCAAGUCGAACGAGUCUCUCCAAUGAAGUUUGAAGCUUCGGUGGAUGACUGAUUUGGGCUCAGAGACGAGUGGCGAACGGGUGAGUAACACGUGGGUAAUCUGCCCUAAAGACAGGGAUAACCUUGGGAAACCAGGGCUAAUACCGGAUAAUGUCAUCUUUCUUAUGUUAGAUGACCAAAUGCUCCGGCGCUUUAGGAUGAGUCCGCGUAUGAUUAGCUUGUUGGUGGGGUAAUGGCCUACCAAGGCGACGAUCCAUAGCCGGCCUGAGAGGGUGAUCGGCCACACUGGAACUGAGACACGGUCCAGACUCCUACGGGAGGCAGCAGUGGGGAAUUUUGCGCAAUGAGCGAAAGCUUGACGCAGCGACGCCGCGUGGAGGAUGAAGGUUUUCGGAUCGUAAACUCCUUUUAGCAGGGAAGAAGCCUUCGGGUGACGGUACCUGCAGAAUAAGCCCCGGCUAACUUCGUGCCAGCAGCCGCGGUAAUACGAGGGGGGCAAGCGUUAUUCGGAUUUAUUGGGCGUAAAGGGUCCGUAGGCGGUUUAUCAGGUCAAGUGUGAAAUCUCACGGCUCAACCGUGGAACUGCACUUGAAACCGGUAGACUAGAGUCUAGUAGGGGGAGACGGAAUUCCAGGUGUAGCGGUGAAAUGCGUAGAUAUCUGGAAGAACACCAGUAGCGAAGGCGGUCUCCUGGGCUAUGACUGACGCUGAGGGACGAAAGCUAGGGGAGCAAACAGGAUUAGAUACCCUGGUAGUCCUAGCUGUAAACGAUGGACACUAGGUAUCGGGGAUAUCGACAUCUUCGGUGCCGCAGUUAACGCAUUAAGUGUCCCGCCUGGGGAGUACGGUCGCAAGACUAAAACUCAAAGGAAUUGACGGGGACCCGCACAAGCGGUGGAGCAUGUGGCUUAAUUCGACGCAACGCGAAGAACCUUACCAGGACUUGACAUAUAUGGAAAAACCCAUGGAAACAUGGGUGUGUCUUCGGACGCCAUAUACAGGUGGUGCACGGUUGUCGUCAGCUCGUGUCGUGAGAUGUUGGGUUAAGUCCCGCAACGAGCGCAACCCUUGUCCUAUGUUACCAGCGGUUCGGCCGGGGACUCAUAGGAGACUGCCGAGGUUAACUCGGAGGAAGGUGGGGACGACGUCAAGUCAUCAUGCCCCUUAUGUCCAGGGCUGCAAACAUGCUACAAUGGCCGGUACAACGGGCUGCAACGGGGCGACCCUGAGCGAAUCUCUUAAAACCGGUCUCAGUUCGGAUUGGAGUCUGCAACUCGACUCCAUGAAGUUGGAAUCGCUAGUAAUCGCGAAUCAGCAACGCCGGGGUGAAUACGUUCCCGGGCCUUGUACACACCGCCCGUCACACCACGAAAGUCGGAAACACCCGAAGCCAGUGGCCUAACCCUUUGGGAAGGAGCUGUCGAAGGUGGGACCAGCGAUUGGGGUG
rnacentral:rRNA from 1 species